AAAGAUUUGAUGAUGAGGAUAGUACUUUAGUUGAGUCCAUAAGCGAGCUGGGAAAUGGUGUAAGCCUGGUAGGAUAGAUUAAUAGGAAGAGAACCUUGGAGAAGUCUCCUGAAAUGAGUAGGGAUGACCGCAGGUGAAAAAAUGAUCUGCGUUAAAGUUAAAGUGGCAUAUUUUAAUUUAGAAUAUGCAAUUAGAGUGGUACCGCGAAUAAUUCGUCUCUUGU
rnacentral:ncRNA from 1 species